UUGAUGACGAGUGGCGGACGGGUGAGUAAUGCUUGGGAAUCUAGCUUAUGGAGGGGGAUAACUACGGGAAACUGUAGCUAAUACCGCGUAGAAUCGAGAGAUGAAAGUGCGGGACCGCAAGGCCACAUGCCAUGAGAUGAGCCCAAGUGGGAUUAGGUAGUUGGUGGGGUAAAGGCCUACCAAGCCGACGAUCUCUAGCUGGUCUGAGAGGAUGACCAGCCACACUGGGACUGAGACACGGUCCAGACUCC
rnacentral:rRNA from 1 species